UACAGAGGUCUCAACCGUUGUUCGGAUUCAUUGGGCGUAAAGGGUGCGUAGGCGGUCGUGCAAGUCGGAUGUGAAAUCUCAGGGCUCAACCCUGAAACUGCAUUCGAUACUGCAUGGCUUGAGUACUGGAGGGGAGACUGGAAUUUACGGUGUAGCAGUGAAAUGCGUAGAUAUCGUAAGGAAGACCAGUGGCGAAGGCGAGUCUCUGGACAGUUACUGACGCUGAGGCACGAAGGCCAGGGGAGCAAACGGG
rnacentral:rRNA from 1 species